rnacentral:rRNA from 1 species
UCAUGGCUCAGGAUGAACGCUGGCGGCGUGCUUAACACAUGCAAGUCGAACGAAGCAGUUUAUUACGAUCCCUUCGGGGUGACGAUUUACUGACUGAGUGGCGGACGGGUGAGUAACGCGUGGGUAACCUGCCUUGUACAGGGGGACAACAGUUGGAAACGACUGCUAAUACCGCAUAAGCGCACAGUGUUGCAUGACACAGUGUGAAAAGAUUUAUCGGUACAAGAUGGACCCGCGUCUGAUUAGCUAGUUGGUGAGGUAACGGCCCACCAAGGCGACGAUCAGUAGCCGACCUGAGAGGGUGACCGGCCACAUUGGGACUGAGACACGGCCCAAACUCCUACGGGAGGCAGCAGUGGGGAAUAUUGCACAAUGGGCGAAAGCCUGAUGCAGCGACGCCGCGUGAGCGAAGAAGUAUUUCGGUAUGUAAAGCUCUAUCAGCAGGGAAGAUAAUGACGGUACCUGACUAAGAAGCACCGGCUAAAUACGUGCCAGCAGCCGCGGUAAUACGUAUGGUGCAAGCGUUAUCCGGAUUUACUGGGUGUAAAGGGAGCGUAGGCGGUUUUACAAGUCUGAUGUGAAAGCCCGCAGCUCAACUGCGGUAUUGCAUUGGAAACUGUAGAACUAGAGUGUCGGAGGGGUAAGUGGAAUUCCUAGUGUAGCGGUGAAAUGCGUAGAUAUUAGGAGGAACACCAGUGGCGAAGGCGGC